CGCAUGCACUGGUCCGGCCGGGUCUUUCCCUCUGGGGAGCCGCAUGCCCUUCACUGGGUGUGUCGGGGAACCAGGACUUUUACUGUGAAAAAAUUAGAGUGUUCAAAGCAGGCCUAUGCUCGAAUACAUUAGCAUGGAAUAAUAGAAUAGGACGUUGCGGUUCUAUUUUGUUGGUUUCUAGGACCGCCGUAAUGAUUAAUAGGGACAGUCGGGGGCAUCAGUAUUCAAUCGUCAGAGGUGAAAUUCUUGGAUCGAUUGAAGACUAACUACUGCGAAAGCAUUUGCCAAGGAUGUUUUCAUUAAUCAGGAACGAAAGUUAGGGGAUCGAAAACGAUCAGAUACCGUUGUAGUCUUAACCAUAAACUAUGCCGACUAGGGAUCGGGCGAUGUUAUAUCUUGACUCGCUCGGCACCUUACACGAAAGUAAAGUUUUUGGGUUCUGGGGGGAGUAUGGUCGCAAGGCUGAAACUUAAAGAAAUUGACGGAAGGGCACCACAAGGGGUGGAGCCUGCGGCUUAAUUUGACUCAACACAGGGAAACUCACCAGGUCCAGACACAACUAGGAUUGACAGAUUGAGAGCUCUUUCUUGAUUUUGUGGGUGGUGGUGCAUGGCCGUUCUUAGUUGGUGGAGUGAUUUGUCUGCUUAAUUGCGAUAACGAACGAGACCUUAACCUGCUAAAUAGCCCGUACCGCUCAGGCGGUACGCUGGCUUCUUAGAGGGACUAUCGG
rnacentral:rRNA from 1 species